rnacentral:sRNA from 1 species
UGGCUGCCAGGAGCUUUAUUUAGUGGUGCUGAAACCCUGGGGCCUGCACCAGGACUCCUAAGCCCAUGUCCUCACCAUCAGAGAGGACAAAAUCUUGUGAGCAGGCUAUGCUCCCUCUGGGAAGAGAGCCA